rnacentral:lncRNA from 1 species
AUCGAUUCUUGCAGCAGUGUUCUUGUUUGUUCAGCAUGAUGUUUUUGUUCCGUUGGGGACCUUAAAUCUAUUAUAUACAUAUAUAGGUCUAUUAAGUAAAAUAUUUGGUUAUGUGUCUGGCACCUGUGGCAUGAAUCAUGAUCAGUGACCACACUGCAGAAUAGAUUGGGAUCACAGAGAGACAUCAUCAAAUAGAUCACAUAUGUUUCAAUAUGAAAUUGUUGAAAAGAAGUUCCCGAACACGACUCCAAUGCUUCUAAAGCUGCCUAAAGCCAACAGAACUCCAAAAAUGUUGUUUUUUGUUGUUGUUUAAACUGUCAAAAAAUUACUAUUUAAUAAAUUUUGAACUUGAA